UCCUGAAGGAACGUUGAAGACGACGACGUUGAUAGGUCGGGUGUGUAAGCGCAGCGAUGCGUUGAGCUAACCGAUACUAAUGAACCGUGAGGCUUAACCUU
rnacentral:rRNA from 4 species